UUCUGGCCUCCCCGUCUACCCUAGGCUACACUGUCCAUCUUCCAAUGCAACCAACGUCAUAGAGGCCUUUUAUGCACCGUUUAGGAUUCAGGGAAGAUUUGAUAGUGCAGACAGAGACUGUGACUUGCCCAAGCCUCAUAACAGGAGAGAGAUUGAUGGAACCAGAGCCAUUAUUUCCUGCCUUCUAUGAACAGUUGUUGGAUCAGGAGCUGUAGAAUGUCUUCAGUGUAAGAAUCCUGUCUGGAGGGACCGUCCAUAGAAGCUCUCCUGCUCUCCCAACUCCAAGGCAAUUCACCAAGUGACUUCCCACCUGUUUGCCUGUAAUGGUUCCAAGGGGCGAGAGUUACGUGCUACGGUCUAUGGCUCUGAGCUGCUGGUGGGAGACACUGGUAUGCUAUACUACCCAGCUCCUGUCAGAAAGUCAGCUUCACUAUGUGGAGUUCAUCCUCUCCCUCAACCAAUGCCCAAGAAGGAGACUGGACACACAAUACCAUUAAAGGUCAUCAGAGGAAUGGAACACAUAGCGUCAUUAAAAAAACAUCAGAGGGCCGGCGGUGGUGGCGCA
rnacentral:lncRNA from 1 species